CCUACGGGAGGCAGCAGUGGGGAAUUUUGGACAAUGGGCGAAAGCCUGAUCCAGCAAUGCCGCGUGAGUGAAGAAGGCCUUCGGGUUGUAAAGCUCUUUUGUCAGGGAAGAAACGGUGGGAGCUAAUAUCUCUUGCUAAUGACGGUACCUGAAGAAUAAGCACCGGCUAACUACGUGCCAGCAGCCGCGGUAAUACGUAGGGUGCAAGCGUUAAUCGGAAUUACUGGGCGUAAAGCGUGCGCAGGCGGUUUUGUAAGUCUGAUGUGAAAUCCCCGGGCUCAACCUGGGAAUUGCAUUGGAGACUGCAAGGCUAGAAUCUGGCAGAGGGGGGUAGAAUUCCACGUGUAGCAGUGAAAUGCGUAGAUAUGUGGAGGAACACCGAUGGCGAAGGCAGCCCCCUGGGUCAAGAUUGACGCUCAUGCACGAAAGCGUGGGGAGCAAACAGGAUUAGAUACCCUGGUAGUCCACGCCCUAAACGAUGUCUACUAGUUGUCGGGUCUUAAUUGACUUGGUAACGCAGCUAACGCGUGAAGUAGACCGCCUGGGGAGUACGGUCGCAAGAUUAAAACUCAAAUGAAUUGACGG
rnacentral:rRNA from 1 species